AGUCAUCGGAUUUUGUAACACUGAAUGGGGAUGUAAAACGACAUAGC
rnacentral:antisense_RNA from 1 species